GCCGGGCAUGGUGGAGCACACCUGUAAUCCCAGUGGCUCAGGAGGCUGAGUCAGGAGGACUGCGAGCUCAAAGCCAGCCUCAGCAAUAGCAAGGCACUAAGCAACUCAGUGAGACCCUGUCUCUA
rnacentral:sRNA from 1 species